AGCUCCAAUAGCGUAUAUUAAAGUUGUUGCAGUUAAAACGUUCGUAGUCGACUUUUUUCCGCACAUCACGAUAGCGUCUCAGAUGUCUGUCGUGCAUGGGGGGAACAUGGGGACAGUCCAUUCUUAUGGAGUGCUCCUCGCAUCACUUUGAGUGAAUCGUCGUGCUUCGCACAGGCACUUGCCUUAUACGAUCUACCAUGGAAUAACUAGACUCUAGAUGCGUUGCUUCUUUGUUCGGCGGCGCGUUUGAUAAUGAUAAGAACGGCUGAGGGUAUUUAUAUUCAACUGCCAGAGGUGAAAUUCUUUGAUUAGUUGAGGAUAAACUAUUGCGAAAGCAUCUACCAAAGACGAUUCUUUUG
rnacentral:rRNA from 1 species